rnacentral:lncRNA from 1 species
UCUGAUUACUUUAACCACUCAUAAUGGUCCUUUGAGUGAAGGAUGGAUACCAAGAAAAUUUGGGACCAAGCAUAAAGUCUGAGCAAACUCCAGGAGCUAGUGAAGGACAGAGAAGCCUGGCAUGCUGCAGUCCACGAGGUCGCAGAGUCAGACGCAACUUAGUGACUGAACAACAACAAAACGUGAGAGCCGCAGAGUUUGACUUAGUGUCGUAUUGUGAUUUGUAAUAAGAAAUAUUUAUUUGGUCUUUGUCCCCAUUUCUGGCACAGA